rnacentral:rRNA from 1 species
CCUACGGGAGGCAGCAGUGGGGAAUUUUCCGCAAUGGGCGAAAGCCUGACGGAGCAACGCCGCGUGAGGGAUGAAGGCCUCUGGGCUGUAAACCUCUUUUAUCAAGGAAGAAGAUCUGACGGUACUUGAUGAAUAAGCCACGGCUAAUUCCGUGCCAGCAGCCGCGGUAAUACGGGAGUGGCAAGCGUUAUCCGGAAUUAUUGGGCGUAAAGCGUCCGCAGGCGGCCCUUCAAGUCUGCUGUUAAAAAGUGGAGCUUAACUCCAUCAUGGCAGUGGAAACUGUUGGGCUUGAGUGUGGUAGGGGCAGAGGGAAUUCCCGGUGUAGCGGUGAAAUGCGUAGAUAUCGGGAAGAACACCAGUGGCGAAGGCGCUCUGCUGGGCCAUCACUGACGCUCAUGGACGAAAGCCAGGGGAGCGAAAGGGAUUAGAUACCCCUGUAGUCCUGGCCGUAAACGAUGAACACUAGGUGUCGGGGGAAUCGACCCCUCCGGUGUCGUAGCCAACGCGUUAAGUGUUCCGCCUGGGGAGUACGCACGCAAGUGUGAAACUCAAAGGAAUUGACGGA